UGUGUUGUGUGCGUCACUGUUUUCCGUCCGGGUAGUUGUUGUUGCCUGUGCUCGUUUCAAGUUAUCAAGUGUAUAUUUAUUGAAAUUGAAAGUGGAUUACGCUGGUACAGUCAAACGUCACAACACGUUCUAAAACGCUCUGGUGACAAACACUUUUUUCCUUGAAUCCAUUCGUCCACAUGGCUGUGCUUUACUACCACCGAAAAUACAGUAAAAAUGACUAAUUAUUUUGUUUUUGUAAGGACCCCCCAAAAAACGGAGGCUGUGAGAGAACCCAUUCAAAUAUGGAAAGCUGUGAAAGCCUGUUUGCAGAUGAAGAGAGAGGUUGUAAGAGACUAAGGGUAUAUCCUAUAUGCCAUGGGUUAUAUGUGUAGGCCUACCUACAGUAUGUUAGCAAAUGUUGGAUACAAAAAUACAGUUAAACAUCACACACAAUGUAUAAACCUAUUACAAUUGGAGCAGGCCAACCCUGCAGGAUGUCUGCUGGGUGUGCAGGGUUCUGUUUCAGCCCAGCAAUAACAAACAAGAUUUAACUUAUCAACCCUAAUGAGUUGAUAAUCAAGUGUGCUAUUGCUGGGCUGGAACAGAAGUCUGCUCACCCAGUAGAUCAGGGAUCAGUGGAGCGAGGUUGGCCACAGCUGGUAUGGCGUUUUUUUUUGUUCACCUGAAAUUAUGCUUUAGUAGUAAUAGCCUACUUGUGACCACUCAGUUAUACGUUGUUGUUUAGACUAAUACGUCUAAUCUUUACAUACGAGUUAGCUUAUUUGUACAUUUUGAAGUGAUGAAGUGUUGAUUCUUUGAAGUGAAGUGUUUAAACUGGUUUUAAUUGUUAAACUAUUAUCCAAAAUGAACUAGUGUCAAUGUUGAUUUAAUCACAGAUUACAAUCCUGCAUAAAGAGGGGAGGAGGUUCUA